UACGUAGGGGGCAAGCGUUGUCCGGAUUUAUUGGGCGUAAAGAGCGUGUAGGCGGCCAUGCAGGUCCGUUGUGAAAACUCGAGGCUCAACCUCGAGACGCCGAUGGAAACCGCAUGGCUAGAGUCCGGAAGAGGAGAGUGGAAUUCCUGGUGUAGCGGUGAAAUGCGCAGAUAUCAGGAGGAACACCGGUGGCGAAGGCGGGUCUCUGGGCCGAAUGAUCGCUGAGGAGCGAAAGCGUGGGGAGCGAACAGG
rnacentral:rRNA from 1 species